rnacentral:lncRNA from 13 species
UCAGUCCAGCUGAGCUGGGACUGCAGUUUGUUUUAGAAGAAUGUCACAAUGGAAGAGUAACUGAGCUCAUAAAUUAGAAGAGAGCUGAGGUCCAAAAUAUCAGCAGGUGAAUCAGGAUGUUCUCGACAGUCAGAGGAGCAGGGCAGAGGCGGAUGUCAGUUGGGAAAUGGAUCCAAAAAUUUAUCUCCAGGACAGUACUCAUGCCACUGUAGCUGGACUCUGAAGAGGACACACCCUAAGAGGAAGGGCUUUGGAAACUCAGCUAAUUAUUCCUGCAGAUCCCCUGGUUAUUAGCAGGGACAGAGGCCAUCCUGCAACCACAGUCGGGCAGCCUCUGCCCCUGGCCACUCCACACGGCUCAGCAGCUCCCCAGUCUUCCGCCUUGGCAGAGCUUCCAACAUUUAAAAAUAACUUGGGACUGUCAAUUCCAGAAAACAAGGGAAUACUGACACAUUAAAUCUUGAACACACCUCCUCCUUAGUAAAGCCCUUCUAUAAGGUAAGAAAUGGAAGUACCUCUAUGGAAGUGUGUCUUGGGAACUGUAGGUUUUCAUGUAUACUAUUGAUGUAGAAUAUCAUCCUCAGCAAACUGGCACAAGAACAGAAAAUGAAACACCGCAUAUUCUCACUCAUAGGCGG